GACCUCUGAGGAAGGAGAUGGAAUGGAGGCUGUGUGAAACUACUGUAUUAUACUGAAGGGGAAUAUUUAUAUUUUCAGCAGCUCUGUACAGCUCCUCACAGAAGAUAACCACUGUUAUCCACAUAUUUCAGAUGCGGAAAUUACUAACUUGCUAACACGUUCUAGGAAAAAUCCAAGAUGGAAGCAAUAAAAACAAGAAUAAACAAGUUCAGUGGAUAUUGUCGAGAGUGUGCUGAAUGGUGAGUGAAGAGUGUGUUGGGGCAGAGAGGGAGGAAAUUAGAAUGGGUGGAGUGAAAGAAGAUUUUGAAAAACGUGAAGGACAAGCUAAAGGAAAGCAGUAUUUAAAUUUCAUACAGUAAAGGCAGGAAGCCACCAGAGAUAUCUUGAAGGGGGCAGGACCAUGAAAAGAUGAUAAACUUGAGGACAGUAUUCUCUAUGCACUGAAGAGAGGCGACCAGUCAGGGGGAGCCCACUAACCACGCCCCCACUGCAGUGUUCCAGAGCAACUGCAGACACGAGACAGCAGGACAGCAAUGCACGUAAAAGGUUAGCUCACUACACAAUUCAACAUCAUAAGGAGAAAGUUUAGUUUCAGACCAUGAGUUCAAUACAGCAGUCCAACAGUAAAAGGCUGACCUGUGGAUGACUAAAGAUAAAAGUGAAGGGUUUAUGUAGAAAAGAAUUCUAGGCAGUUAAGACUCAGCAGAUAUAUCUUCUUUUAAGCAACCAAGGUACAUACACUACUGACUUUUAAAAGUUAACGGGCAUUUUGCUUAAAAAAACCCAAAAUUUCUAGAAGCAUUUUAAAUAUUCAACUUAUGUGUUUAGAAACACUAUUAUAUUAGAUCAAGGUAAAUUUAUACUGUACUCAAGGCAAUGAGCUGUCAUUUAUUAUGUCUUUAAUACCUAUAUCUUUAUUCUAUAGGAAAGAAGCAUAAAAGAACAAUCACCAAAAAAGGUCUGCAUUGUGUCCUGAAAUGGGCAUGGGAAAAACUUUGAAACUGGAAAUCACUUUCCUCUCCCCUGGACUGAACACCCUAACAGCUUUUAUCUGAUCUUAUAUAUUCCAAGUUUCCACAAAACAUCUAAGUUCAAAAUAAAACUUACAAAUCAGUUCUGAGACCAACUGCCUGGGAUCUCACAGUAAGCUAGCAUAAUGUAACAAAGUCAUUCAUGGGUAAAAGAUGCACUUAUGGUAAUGUUAAGAGUAUAUUUCUUCAUUAAUGAUUUCAGUUUCCAUGUUGCAGUUAAAUGUUAACAAACCACACUUCGGCAAGUUUUGAUGUAACAUUAAAGAAUACAUAUGCUGACAAGUCUAUUAAAGUAGUCCUCCCUUUCCUAAUUGCAUAUAUAUGUGGGUCCAGAUUUUCUUCAUAUACGUCAACCAAAAUAUCUCAUAACCAAGUGAAUGCAGAAGCACUUAUGAAAAAACAACUAACUUCAUCUAAAGAGAUUUACAAAUGUAAAAGUAAUAUCCCUCUUCUUGCGAAAUGUAUUUUGUUUGGAAAAUUGUCUCAUAUUUUUUGCUAACAAAUUUAUCAUUUUAACAUACUAUUUAAUUUUUAAUUUGGUAAAUAUCAGUAGAUAUAAUCCAUAUAAACAAAACUUUCUCAAGGUCUUCAAUAAUUUUUGAGAAUAUAAUGGGGUCCAGGGAUGAAAAUAGCUGAUCAAGGAACAGAAAAAUCUGUAACACUUAAGAUUCCCCCUGCUUUGUCCUGUGUUUUGUGUAGAAGGGUUUGAGUUUGAGAGAGAAAUUCUACACAGCAUGCUGGUGGGAACUCUGUUGUCAUUACAAGGUAUGUAUAACUAAUAAUAUCCUUAUAGUGCAUUUGUAUCACCCUCCCAACCCCCCAGCACAGAACAGGC